GUUGAACUUCAGUGGUCGUACAGGAGAGACGUGUUGAUCCUCCUGCCGCCCCGCCGGCUUUACCGCUUCCUCAUCCUUUUAAUACACUUAAAUAACGUGUGGUAACUGAGGAGUGCUGUGCCUGGCUGUGUCUGCUGCAACAUUGAUCAACACAGCAACAUUGACCAGUCUGAGGGGUGGAGACAACCACACUAGUAAAUGAUCUGACCCAUAACAGUUAGUGUUAUAUGGAGAUGCAGCACUUGGAGACGUCGUUAGAGGUUGAAGAUAUUCCUCGUGGUGAAGGCCGCGUUGUGGGCAGCUGCAAGUCUUCAGAUAUACCAUCACCAGCAGCAACACCCCAAAACAAUGUCUGCAAAGAUAAAAGUGUGGACAUUACUAGAUUAUUCGUGUACUGCAGCAAGUUGAUGGAACUGGAAGAUCUGGAGGUGUUGAUGGUGUGGUGGAUGGCAGAGGAGUGACUAGUGGCGCCACUAUUCUUGACCUCCAUGGCUAAAUGGCGCCACUGACCUGGAGGAGGGGGUGUUAAUGACGUCA